AUUGAACGCUGGCGGCAGGCCUAACACAUGCAAGUCGAGCGAGCGGCGGACGGGUGAGUAAUGUCUGGGAAACUGCCUGAUGGAGGGGGAUAACUACUGGAAACGGUAGCUAAUACCGCAUACCAUCAGAUGUGCCCAGAGGGGAUUAGCUCGUAGGUGGGGUAACGGCGCACCUAGGCGACGAUCCCUAGCUGGUCUGAGAGGAGGACCAGCCACACUGGAACUGAGAAACGGUCCCGACUCCUACGGGAGGCAGCAGUGGGGAAUAUUGCACAAUGGGCGCAAGCCUGAUGCAGCCAUGCCGCGUGUGUGAAGAAGGCCUUAUGGUUGUAAAGCACUUUAAGCGGGGAGGCGUUACUCGCAGAAUAAGCACCGGCUAACUCCGUGCCAGCAGCCGCGGUAAUUC
rnacentral:rRNA from 1 species